AUAAAAGUGCUUGUUAUUCUUUGAAAAAAUGUAAUUGCUUGUACUGCAAAUAGGACAAAAUGAAUUUGACAAUUGAAAAUUAUUGAGGGACCAUUUAUGGCACAAAGCCACCAACUGGCUCCAGGCGUUCAGGUUGAAGAACCACGGAGUCAUGAACUUUCUCCUAACUUUUUUCCUGUUAAAAGAAUUUGUAUAAAAGCAAAAACUAAAUAGAGGAUCCUAACAAUAAUGAGAAACAACUAUGACAAAUUAUAAAAAGGAAUCUUACAGUGCAUCUGCACAGUGUCCCUCAUUAGUUCUACAAAACAAAAGCUCUGUACAACAUUGACUUCACAGUUGAUGACAAAACUGAGCUUCAACCAUGCUUCUAGACCUUUAUUUGGAACCCUGCAAAUGUCCUGAAAUAUCCUCUCAUGCCUCCUUAGGCGCUUUAAUUAAAAUUGUAAUCAUGCACUCAGUCCAAAUCUAUUUGCCUAGUGUUGCAUUGCAUGUACUGCCACUCUUUAUACCACCUCCUUGUUCUGCCGGAUUUAACAAAGAAACUGGUGCAUAAAAGUGCUCUGAGCUAAAAAUUUACAAAUAAUUAGGGAUUAUGACAUGGAAU
rnacentral:misc_RNA from 1 species